GCUGCCUGAAAGCGGCCGACAGCAUCGGGGCCGUAUCCCCUGGGCAAACCUCGCACCCUCCGCACAGCCAGAACCCCCAAACAGAGCGACAGGGCACUGACUGCUGCAGGAUCCAGCCAGACAUGCCCUAUCUCGUUUCCAGCAGGGAGAACACGCACCCUAGGCCACCCCUUUCCCUGGACCAAGCCUGGCUUUCUGUGAGGCUCAGACUGCUGUCCCCACCUCGCAGCACACGGCCAUUGCGGCCGGUCCUCGGCUCCACGACUUGGGGGUGACUUACAACAGGGCCAAUGCAGCUGUAGCAAACAGCACAGGCACCUGGAGGAGCUGGCACAGGUUUCCCAAGGGUUAGGAGAGCCCUGCUGCAGCAGGAUCAGCUGUUUUUUCCGAAGAUGCAUAGGAUAUAAAAGACUCGAGAGUUCGCAAUACACCUGAAAUCGCUUCUUUGCACUCAGGGUCGCAGAACUCGAGAGCUGGGAAGGCAGGAGUGGUUUCACGAGCCUACAGGUUCAGGUCGGUGCCCAUGCCAACCUGGGUGCAGCCCAGAGCAUCUGCCACGGGGAGCUGGGACAAGCUCAGAGAGGCUGCCUGUGUUACCCACCUGAGCAGCUCCACUCAGCACAAAUAUCUGCUUCUAAACGCCUGACUGCACGGUGUGCACUUCAAUACUGCUGAUGCCUGCACUUGCUGCACGUGCACGGGACACUAAAGUCUUCUCCUCUGAAGGAGAUGAGUGAGUAACCGCUGAAAGAUCACAAAAGAAGCUAGUUUUCUGUCUCAGAGCAGACGGAGAGAAGUGCCUCAGCAGAGCCCUUGGAUAACCCUCUUGGUGCCGAGCGAGAGCUCAGAUCGUGAGCACACGUCAAAAGCAGUAAUGCACUUGGUCUGUCCAGGGCAGAGGUUUAAUCCUAACCCAUUCCUUGCUCAGCCUCCCCAGCCUGAACACACUCAGGAUGGAGUGCUGUGUCAGCCACAGCCUUUCCCCACAGAUACUGUGUCAUUCAGUUUACAGCAGCAAUGGAGAUUAAGACGAUGCAGUAUAAAACAGAGCUGUUAAUAUCUGCAAUUAGUUAAAGCUUUAACCUUCGAAGACAUUAAAAGAAUGAACUAAAAUCAUACCCUGAGAAACAUUAAAAGAAGAUGGCCCCAAGCCAUCAGGUAUCUCACAUGCUACGAGCCAGGUGUGAGACCAAAUGCUUCUCUUAGAUUCAGAACCCCUUCCAAAACUGGGGACAGGGAGGGAUUCACGCUGUGGCCCUCAGGGGGACCAGCAAGAGUGGAUCUGGAAGGACCCACGAACACUUCCCCCUGCUUCAGACCAAAACAGCAAACGCCAUUUUGCAACGUGGCUUGGUAAACUUUGAGCACCAAUAUUUCAGGCAGGUUGGGUUUUUAUGGGAGCCGUUUGCAUGGCACUGACCCAAGGCAGUGUCUGAGUUUGGGGGCCACUGCUCUGCUAGAUUCUCUCCUUACACGGCCGUGGUUUUGACAAGAACAAGCUGUCCAGUAACCUCUCUCUUUUUUGAACACACCAGUUUUCUUCACACUGAACUUUGUAUGGCAGCAUCUCUCCAUCCACUGGGAUGCCAGAGGCACGGCAAGUACAGCAGAACGUGGCAGCAACAUCUUUUAGGACAGGAACGCUGACAGAAUGACGAACAGCCCCGGCUGUUUCACCCUGAAACAAACUUCAAUUCUGCCCAUCUUGACAGAAAUGAACUAUGACAGGGGCUAAAAUCAGCACCAGAGAGGAGCUCCUCUGGAGAGACAGGAGAGGUCACACCGCUGGGAGGAUGAACAGGACGGCAGCGUAGCUCAACUCCCAUCUCUGGUGCGGUGCAGGGAACGUUCAGUACAUUGUCAGCAUCUGAGAGGGCACAGCUGUACCGGGGAGAUCACUGAUGGAUAUUCCUGCAGUCCAGACAACUUUCCAGAGCUGGUAAAAUAGACACUGGGCAAAACGUGACUGAGCACCAACUUUCUACCUCAGACCUCUAAACCUCGUAAAGUCAGCAAGGCACCAUCAAUGAGAACUGUAAUCACGGAAUAUCACAAACACCUACAACAGCAGAUACAGAAUGGAACAAAACCAGGCCAAGCCCCAC